rfam:Myotis brandtii contig224791, whole genome shotgun sequence.
CAUGCACCAAUGGGGUCCCUCAGCCUGGCCUGUGGGGAUCGGGCUGAAACUGGCUCUCUGACAUCCCCUGAUAGGUCCCGGAUUGUGAGAGGGUGCAGGCCAGGCUGAGGGACCCCACCGGUGCACG